rnacentral:lncRNA from 1 species
AGAAAAGAAAAAGCAUGUAAAGCGAACUCAAUGUAAAAAGGAAAAAGGGAAGAAGUUGGGAACGAAUGAGAUUGGUUAAAAAAAGAGUAUGCUUGAACUUUGAAUGAUAAUUUAAACUCUCUUAACUCAAGGAUUUUGUAUUCCAGAAAAACCAAUUUUUCUUGAUAGCCCAACCACAUUACAAGUCUUGGAAAAAAGUCCUUGUAAUGACAUUUGCAUGUGAAGAUUUUGAUUGUUUUAG